rnacentral:rRNA from 1 species
AUUGAACGCUGGCGGCAGGCCUAACACAUGCAAGUCGAGCGAGCGGCGGACGGGUGAGUAAUGUAUGGGGACUGCCCGAUAGAGGGGGAUAACUACUGGAAACGGUAGCUAAUACCGCAUACUAUCGGAUAACCCAUAUGGGAUUAGCUAGUAGGUGAGGUAAUGGCGCACCUAGGCGACGAUCCCUAGCUGGUCUGAGAGGAUGAUCAGCCACACUGGGACUGAGACCCGGCCCAGACUCCUACGGAGGCAGCAGUGGGGAAUAUUGCGGAAUGGGCGCAAGCCUGAUGCAGCCAUGCAGAGUGUAUGAAGAAGGCACUAGGGUUGUAAAGUACUUUCAGUCGUGAGGCGUUACCGAAAGAAGAAGCAACGGCUAACUCCGGGCCAGCAGCCGCGGUAAUUC